UACGAAGGGUGCAAGCGUUACUCGGAAUUACUGGGCGUAAAGCGUGCGUAGGCGGUUUGUUAAGUCUGGCGUGAAAGCCCCGGGCUCAACCUGGGAAUGGCGAUGGAAACUGGCGGGCUAGAGUACGGUAGAGGAGAGUGGAAUUCCCGGUGUAGCAGUGAAAUGCGUAGAGAUCGGGAGGAACAUCAGUUGCGAAGGCGGCUCGCUGGACCAGAACUGACGCUGAGGGACGAAAGCUAGGGGAGCAAACAGG
rnacentral:rRNA from 1 species